rnacentral:rRNA from 1 species
GAUGAACGCUAGCGGCAGGCCUAAUACAUGCAAGUCGUACGGCAACACAGUUGCGAGCAAUCGCAACCGGUGGCGAGUGGCGCACGGGUGAGUAACGCGUAUGUAACCUACCCUUCUCCGGGACAUAACUCCGCGAAAGCGGUGCUAAUAUCCCAUACCAACUCAUCAAGACAUCUUCUUGAGUUGAAAGCAGCAAUGCGGUGAAGGAUGGGCAUGCGUCCCAUUAGCUGGUUGGUGAGGUAAUGGCCCACCAAGGCUACGAUGGGUAGGGGUUCUGAGAGAAAAGCCCCCCACACUGGUACUGAGACACGGACCAGACUCCUACGGGAGGCAGCAGUAAGGAAUAUUGGGCAAUGGUCGAAAGACUGACCCAGCCAUGCCGCGUGCAGGAUGAAGGCCCUAUGGGUUGUAAACUUCUUUUGCAGGGGAAUAAAGUAUUCCACGAGAUGGGAUAUUGCAAGUACGCUGCGAAUAAGGAUCGGA